UUCAUGAGGGGCGGCUCUAUUCAAUUACUAGGCUCUAACUCCUUAUCCCUUCACGGAAGUGUAUCGUUUCCUAGCAACGCCUGACCGGCUGACAAACAGUGGUGAUGACAGGAGGCUUUGUCAGCCAACUUUUACAUUUUCAUUUCAAUACAUUAUUUUCAUUCUCUGACCUUUCUUUUGCCUUAAUAACUCAAGAAGCAGUGCUGACAGAGUCAACCAUCUUGGUCUCCACCGCAUCCAAUGGAGGGUGGGGGAAGUGAGGGAGGAGGGGAAGAGGAGAGGAGGGGAACCCCGCCACAGGAGGAGGAGAUGAACAGCCAGGUGGUGCUGAAGAGGCAGCAGAGGACUCUGGCGUUACUGUGCUACCUGUGCAGGAGGGUGGAUCAGCAGAGCAGGCUGAGGCGGGGACUGAUCACCCAGUGUCACAGUCAGGAGACAGUGGUACAGGUGCAGCCUUCAACCCCACCAGCAACUCAGAUAACGAAACGAUGCCCUUUCCACCUCACCCCUCAUUGCACCUCUCAGUCCCCCUCUGACAGUGAUGGGGACGAGUUACGCAGGGCGGCGGAAGAGGACGAUGGUGCAGAUGAGCUAAUCGUGCUGGACCCCUGAACAUCCGCUGAUGAGAAGGUUCCAGACUGCACUGAAGAACCACCUCCAUAAGCAACUGGGGAGACUCAACGUGGAGUUGCGGGAGAAGAUGGCUAUUUAGACCGCAGGCGGCCACCCAGCGCCAACAGGCCCAGGAUCAGCUAGAGGGGGUCCGAAGCCAGUACCGCACCAGCCAGGCCGGCAAGCAGAGGUCACACGUGUCCCAGUUGCAGAGUGAGGUAGAGAACCUGGCACUGCGUCUGUUCUACAUGCAGGUGGUUAACGCCGACCUGCACUCCGACAUCACGGCCAUGAAGAACACCUCGCGCAAGCCCCACUCCGAGAAGACCCAGGCAGAAACACACCUGAUUCAAGAUCAGCCAAAUGGCAUGCUCGUUCUAAUGUUAACCUUUCUGAGCCAAACAGCAAAACUGGUCCUGGACCAGAAUAGAAUUUAAAAUCAUUCUUAUUACUAUGGCUGAAUCUUCUCUCUCUCUCUCUCUCUACGCCCCUCUCAAUUCAAUUUCAAUUCAAUUUAAAGGCUUUUUUGGCAUGGGAAACGUGUUAACAUUGCCAAAGCAAGUGAAA